UAACCUUUUUUUAAGGGAUAGGGUCGGUUCGGCCGGAUUUUACACAAGUGUUGCAUGGCUGUCGUCAGCUCGUGUCGUGAGAUGUUGGGUUAAGUCCCGCAACGAGCGCAACCCUCAUCCUUAGUUGCUAUCAGGUAAUGCUGAGUACUUUAAGGAAACUGCCAGUGAUAAGCUGGAGGAAGGUGGGGAUGAUGUCAAGUCAUCAUGGCCUUUAUGGAGUGGGCUACACACGUGCUACAAUGGUGUCUACAAUGGGCUGCAAGGUGCGCAAGCCUAAGCUAAUCCCUAAAAGACAUCUCAGUUCGGAUUGUACUCUGCAACUCGAGUACAUGAAGUUGGAAUCGCUAGUAAUCGUGGAUCAGCAUGCCACGGUGAAUACGUUCUCGGGUCUUGUACACACUGCCCGUCACGGCCAUGGGAAUUGGUUUCCCUCGAAAGC
rnacentral:rRNA from 1 species